rnacentral:rRNA from 1 species
AUGCGGCGCCGCCACCCGCUGCGGCCAAGGGCACCUGCGCUCCCGCUUCUCCUUUUCCUCGCCGUCGCCGUUGCGCCGCCGCCGGCCGCCGCGGUGGGCGUGAACUGGGGCUUCGCGGCAUCCCACCCGCUCCCGGCGGCGCAGGUCGUGCGUGACCUCCUCCUCCCCAACUCCGUCCCUCGCGUGCGCCUCUCCGCCGCCUCGCCCGACGCGCUGACCGCCCUUGCCGGCACCCGCAUCGCCGUUACCGUCGGGGUCCCGAACGAGCUGCUCCGCCCCCUCGCCUCCUCCAGGAAGGCAGCCGCCGCCUGGGUCCACGACAAUGUCACCCGCUACGCCUCCGGCGUACUGUUCGAGUUUAUUGCUGUUGGAGAUGAUCCAUUUCUUCUUAAUCACGGGCAGCAGUUUCAACCUUUUGUGGUUCGUGCAGCAGCGAAUAUUCAACGGGCAUUGGAUGAUGCAAAGUUAUCCAGCAAGAUGAAAGUAGUUGUGCCUUGUAGCUCUGAUGCGUACCAAAACACAUCAACUCUGCCUUCGAAAGCUUACUUCAGGCCAGAUGUUAACAAAACCAUGGUUGAGCUCCUCCCAUUUCUUGCAAAUCAUAGCUCACCGUUUAUGGUCGAGCUGAAUCCUAUUUUGAGCUUUCAGCAGAAGAAAAAUAUUUCAUUGGACUAUUACCUUUUCCAACUAAUGUCACGUCCAAUAAGUGAUGGUCAUAACAAGUAUGACAACUACUUCGAUGCGAGCAUAGAUGCUCUGGUUACUGCUCUAACUAAAGCUGGAUUCAGCGAUAUGGACAUCAUUGUUGGGAGAGCAGGAUGGCCAACAGAUGGAGCUGUGAACGCAACUUCGGCUAUUGCUCAAUCCUUCAUGACAGGCCUGGUCAACCACCUGGCGAGAAAAUCUGGGACUCCACUUCGCCCAAAAUUUGCUCCAACUGAGACAUACCUCUACAGCCUUUUAGACGAAGAUCAACACAGUAUAGCAACCGGAAGUUAUGACAGGCACUAUGGCAUUUUUACGUUUGACGGCCAAGCAAAGUAUCAUGUCAACUUGGGUCAAGGCCCUAUGGCGCUCAAGAAUGCUCUGGAUGUGGACUACCUUCCAUCGAAAUGGUGCGUGGUGGACAACAACAAAGACUUAUCCAAUGUUUCUUCCAGUUUCUCUGCCGCUUGCUCCAAUGCCGACUGCACCGCUCUGUCCACUGGUUGCUCCUGUGCAGGUCUUGGCUGGCCUGGAAAUGUGUCAUUUGCCUUCAACAGUUACUACCAGCAGCAUGAUCAGAGUGAGGAGAGCUGCAGCUUCAAUGGCCUAGGUUUGAUAACCACCGUUGAUCCAUCCGUCGAUAAUUGCCUCUUUGCUCUUGCAAUUCGCGCUUCUGCUGCCACUUCCUUUCACCCAACAUUUGCCGUGCUGUGGAUACUAGUUUCGGUUUGCAUUUACAGUUUAGUCUGA